GUCUAGUUAGCUCAGUUGGUAGCGCGUCUGCCUUGUAAGCGCUAAGCCGCGGGUUCGAUUCCCGCCCGGGGCG
rnacentral:tRNA from 1 species